GACGAACGCUGGCGGCGUGCUUAACACAUGCAAGUCGAACGGAAAGGCCCUGCUUUUGUGGGGUGCUCGAGUGGCGAACGGGUGAGUAACACGUGAGUAACCUGCCCUUGACUUUGGGAUAACUUCAGGAAACUGGGGCUAAUACCGGAUAGGAGCUCCUGCUGCAUGGUGGGGGUUGGAAAGUUUCGGCGGUUGGGGAUGGACUCGCGGCUUAUCAGCUUGUUGGUGGGGUAGUGGCUUACCAAGGCUUUGACGGGUAGCCGGCCUGGGAGGGUGACCGGCGACAUUGGGACUACGAGACGGACCAGAAUCCUACGGGAGGCAGCAGUGGGGAAUCUGGCACAAUGGGCGGGAGCCUGAUGCAGCAACGCUGCGUGCGGGAUGACGGCCUUCGGGUUGUAAACCGCUUUCGCCUGUGACGAAGCGUGAGUGACGGUAAUGGGUAAAGAAGCACCGGCUAACUACGUG
rnacentral:rRNA from 1 species